CCUACGGGUGGCAGCAGUGAGGAAUAUUGGUCAAUGGACGAGAGUCUGAACCAGCCAAAUAGCGUGAAGGAUGACUGCCCUAUGGGUUGUAAACUUCUUUUAUAUGGGAAUAAAACGUUCCACGUGUGGGAUUUUGUAUGUACCAUAUGAAUAAGGAUCGGCUAACUCCGUGCCAGCAGCCGCGGUAAUACGGAGGAUCCGAGCGUUAUCCGGAUUUAUUGGGUUUAAAGGGAGCGUAGGUGGAUUGUUAAGUCAGUUGUGAAAGUUUGCGGCUCAACCGUAAAAUUGCAGUUGAAACUGGCAGUCUUGAGUACAGUAGAGGUGGGCGGAAUUCGUGGUGUAGCGGUGAAAUGCUUAGAUAUCACGAAGAACUCCGAUUGCGAAGGCAGUUCACUGGACUGCAACUGACACUGAGGCUCGAAAGUGUGGGUAUCAAACAGGAUUAGAUACCCUUGUAGUC
rnacentral:rRNA from 1 species